GUGCUUGCUUCAGCAGCACAUAUGCUAAAAUUGGCACAACACAGAGAAGAUUAGCAU
rnacentral:snRNA from 3 species